CCUGCAGGAGGAGGUGACCCCAAAGGGUGAGAUGGCCGAGUGGGAGCGGCUGUUUGCACAGAGCCGUGCUGUCCCACCUCAUGCCCAGCGCAGACACGGCGUGCCGGAGCGCUCCGUGCCUUUCCAGUGCGUCCUGAAGUGCCUCGAGGGUUCCGUUGUCAAGCAGAGGUCCCCAGCUGAGCUGCAGCUCCGGCUGUCCCUCUUUGAUGCUGCCCACCGCCACUUCUUUGGCCACACGUGGCACAGCAGCACCCGGACCCCCUGCAGCGCCCCAGGGCAGCCCCCCCGUGUGCUCUUCAAUGAGGUAUGAACACUGAGGUUGGUUGGCUUCAUGCUGGGGUGUCGGUUCCCUGCUCUGUCUAUCCAUAAUCUUGCAGCUGGG
rnacentral:lncRNA from 1 species